rnacentral:rRNA from 1 species
UACAGAGGUCUCAAGCGUUAAUCGGAAUUACUGGGCUUAAAGGGUCCGCAGGCUGUUCGACAAGUACCUUGUGAAAUCUCAGGUCUCAACCCUGAAACCGCUCGGUAGACUGUCGGACUUGAGUACGAAAGGGGUCGCUGGAACUCUAGGUGGAGCGGUGAAAUGCGUAGAUAUCUAGAGGAACGCCAAAGGUGAAGACAGGCGACUGGUUCGUAACUGACGCUCAUGGACGAAAGCGUGGGGAUCAAACGGG